rnacentral:rRNA from 1 species
GAGAAUAGUUUAGUGGCGGACGGGUGAGUAACGCGUGAGCAAUCUGCCUUUCAGAGGGGGAUAACGGAGGGAAACUUCCGCUAAUACCGCAUAAAAUUAUAGAACCGCAUGGUUUAAUAAUCAAAGAUUAAUCGCUGAAAGAUGAGCUCGCGUCCGAUUAGAUAGUUGGUAGGGUAAUGGCCUACCAAGUCUGCGAUCGGUAGCCGGACUGAGAGGUUGAACGGCCACAUUGGGACUGAGAUACGGCCCAGACUCCUACGGGAGGCAGCAGUAGGGAAUAUUGCGCAAUGGGGGAAACCCUGACGCAGCAACGCCGCGUGAAGGAAGAAGGCUUUCGGGUUGUAAACUUCUUUUUUAAGGGAAGAUAAUGACGGUACCUUAUGAAUAAGCUACGGCUAACUACGUGCCAGCAGCCGCGGUAAUACGUAGGUGGCAAGCGUUGUCCGGAUUUACUGGGUGUAAAGGGCGCGUAGGCGGGUUGGUAAGUCAGAUGUGAAAUCUCCGGGCUUAACUCGGAGCGUGCACUUGAAACUGCCAGUCUUGAGUGUCGGAGAGGUAGACGGAAUUCCACGUGUAGCGGUGAAAUGCGUAGAUAUGUGGAGGAACACCGGUGGCGAAGGCGGUCUACUGGACGAUAACUGACGCUGAGGCGCGAAAGCGUGGGGAGCAACAGGAUUAGAUACCCUGGUAGUCCACGCUGUAAACGAUGAAUACUAGGUGUGGGGAGGACUGACCCUUUCCGUGCCGGAGCUAACGCAAUAAGUAUUCCACCUGGGGAGUACGGCCGCAAGGUUGAAACUCAAAGGAAUUGACGGGGGCCCGCACAAGCAGUGGAUUAUGUGGUUUAAUUCGACGCAACGCGAAAACCUUACCGGGGUUUGACAUCCUGCUAACGAGGUAGAGAUACAUUAGUGCCCUUCGGGAAAGCAGAGACAGGUGGUGCAUGGUUGUCGUCAGCUCGUGUCGUGAGAUG